rnacentral:ncRNA from 1 species
UUUUUAUGGUUUAAAAAAUUUAUUUUAAAUUUAUUUUACAUAUAAAUUUUGGUGAUAAUUUUAAUGAUUUUAAAAAUAAUUAAUUUAUAUAUGUAGUAAUUAAUAUUAAAAAUUUAAGUAAUUAAGAUUUAGUAAUAUAAAAAUUAAUAACAAAUUUUGUGCCAGCAGUUGCGGUUACACAAAAAUUAAAAUAAAUUUUUUUAGUUAUUAAUAAAUAAUUAUAAAUAUAAUAAUUUAAAUUUUAAUUUAUUAAGUGAAAUUUUAAUUUAAUUAAAAAUUAUUUUUAUGAAAUUAAUAAAUUUUAUUUAUAAACUAGGAUUAGAUACCCUAUUAUUAAAAAAUUAAAAUUAUAUACUAAAAUAUUAGAUUUUUAUUGAAACUUAAAUAAUUUGGCGGUAUUUUAGUUCAUUUAGAGGAAUCUGUCUAAUAAUUGAUAAUCCACGAAUAAUUUUACUUAAUUUAUUAUUUUGUAUAUCGUUGUUAAAAAAAUAUUUUUAAAUAAUAAAUAAUAUUUUAAAAUUUAAAUAAAAAAUUAAAUCAAAUCAAGAUGCAGAUUAUAAUUAAGAAUAUGAUGGAUUACAAUAAAUUAAUUUAGGAGGAAAUUAAUAUGAAAAAUUAAUUGAAAAUGGAUUUAAAUGUAAUUUUUUUUUAGUUUAUAAAAAUGAUUUAUAAUUAAAAUAUGUACAUAUUGCCCGUCGCUUUCAUUUGAAAAUUGAAAUAAGUCGUAACAAAGUAGAGGUACUGGAAAGUGUUUCUAGAAAGAA